CAGGCAACAACUCGGCCUGCUCCCCCGACAACAUGUCCAGUGCCAGUGGGAUGGAUGCGCUGAAGAUCGAGGAGAUGGAGAAGAUGCUGAAGGAAGCCCACCUAGAGAAGGCCAGGCUCAUAGAAUCCAGAGAGCGAGAGAGCCAUGCCCGUAGGCAGAUGCUGGAGGAGGAGAGGAGGCGGCGCGAGGAGGCUGAGAAGAGGCUGCAGGACGAGCAG